rnacentral:rRNA from 1 species
GACGAACGCUGGCGGCGUGCUUAACACAUGCAAGUCGAACGGAAAGGCCCUGCUUUUGUGGGGUGCUCGAGUGGCGAACGGGUGAGUAAAGCGUGAGUAAACUGCCCUUGACUUUGGGAUAAAUUCAGGAAAAUGGGGCUAAUACAGGAUAGGAGCUCCUGCUGCAUGGGGGGGGAUGGAAAGUUUCGGCGGUUGGGGAUGGACUAGAGGCUUAUCAGCUGGUUGGUGGGGUAGGGGAUUACCAAGGCUUUGACGGGUAGCCGGCCUGAGAGCGUGACCGGCCACCUGGGUACUGAGAGACGGCCCAGUCUCCUACGGGCGGCAGCAGUGGGGAAUCUUGCACAAUGGGCGGAAGCCUGAUGCAGCAACCCCGCGUUCGUGAUGCCGGCCUUCUGGUUGUAAACCGCUUUCUCCUGUGACGUAGCGUGCGUGACGGUAAUUGGUAAAGAAGCACCGGCUAACUACGUG